rnacentral:rRNA from 1 species
CCCCGGGCCAUGCCUUAGUACGGCGAGUGAGCGGCAAAAGCUCAAAUUUGAAAUCUGGUACCUUCGGUGCCCGAGUUGUAAUUUGGAGAGGGCAACUUUGGGGCCGUUCCUUGUCUAUGUUCCUUGGAACAGGACGUCAUAGAGGGUGAGAAUCCCGUGUGGCGAGGAGUGCGGUUCUUUGUAAAGUGCCUUCGAAGAGUCGAGUUGUUUGGGAAUGCAGCUCUAAGUGGGUGGUAAAUUCCAUCUAAAGCUAAAUAUUGGCGAGAGACCGAUAGCGAACAAGUACAGUGAUGGAAAGAUGAAAAGAACUUUGAAAAGAGAGUGAAAAAGUACGUGAAAUUGUUGAAAGGGAAGGGCAUUUGAUCAGACAUGGUGUUUUGUGCCCUCUGCUCCUUGUGGGUAGGGGAAUCUCGCAUUUCACUGGGCCAGCAUCAGUUUUGGUGGCAGGAUAAAUCCAUAGGAAUGUAGCUUGCCUCGGUAAGUAUUAUAGCCUGUGGGAAUACUGCCAGCUGGGACUGAGGACUGCGACGUAAGUCAAGGAUGCUGGCAUAAUGGUUAUAUGCCGCCCGUCUUGAACCCACGGACC